CUGGACAACAGGACAGCCAGGAGAGAAAGAACCCCUUCCCGGGCUAUAGUAAGAAUUAUCCCCAGGACUUGUGGAGGAUAAAGGCAGGAAAUAGGGAGUGCAUGCCCGUGCUGAGCGGAUGAGGCGACAGGAAAGAGAUGUGGCAGGUCUCCGAUGAUGAGUCUGUGCCUUGCUUCUGGCUCUGGUCCCACAGAAGCAACAAAACUCACCAGAGGACUGGCGGGACUUGUUGGUUGAAGGGACCUAUCCCGGCACUACACAGGGUCCCGAGAAGGAUGCAGGACCCUGGAGAUCAGCAGAUCCAGUGGGCGUCUCUGCAGACAGAACUGUGGGGCCUUGGCACCGCCUGGCCAGGCAUCCGCCACCUAGGAAGGAGUGAGAACUGUAUGCUGAGCACUUCCACAGGCCCAGAACAUUCAGCUGAGUUACAGAAAAGUACGAGACAUGUCUCUGGAUUUAGGUCAAGAGUCAUAACCUGCCAUACGCCAAUUAGGAAGUUUUAGUCUGUUUUGUGUGAGUGCUAAGUGCGCACCAUGACUCAUAGCAAAGAAACCAGGGCAUGCUGAGUUCAGAUACGCCAUCGGGAUCCCCAGGCCAUCACGGGAUAACCAGUGCAUGCCUAACUCAAACUCUCCUCCAUUCUGAUGGCCACCAGAGCAGCCGUCCUCAGCCCUUCUAACGCCUCAACCCCCUAGUACUCUUCCUCAUGUUGUGGUGACUCCACCCAAAAGACAAGAAGUACUUUUGGAUGUUGGAAUUAAUGGCCGGGAAGACAGCUGAGCAGUCACCAGCAGUGCCAGGACACUGGCACAACAGUGUGCAGCCGGAGGCUGUCAACACAUUCCUCUAUGGUCUCUAGCCCUGUUGAGCAGUUCUUUGUGGACAGAGAGGAAGAAGCAGAGGUAAUAGCAGCCACCACCACAGAAUGCAG
rnacentral:lncRNA from 1 species